GAUGAACGCUAGCUACAGGCUUAACACAUGCAAGUCGAGGGGCAGCGCAGUGUAGCAAUACAUGGGCGGCGACCGGCGCACGGGUGCGUAACGCGUAUCCAACCUUCCCGUUACUCAGGGAUAGCCUUCCGAAAGGGAGAUUAAUACCUGAUGGUGUUCAAAUUCCGCAUGUUAUUUGAACUAAAGAUUUAUCGGUAACGGAUGGGGAUGCGUGACAUUAGAUAGUAGGCGGGGUAACGGCCCACCUAGUCUACGAUGUCUAGGGGUUCUGAGAGGAAGGUCCCCCACACUGGAACUGGGACACGGUCCAGACGCCUACGGGAGGCAGCAGUGAGGAAUAUUGGUCAAUGGUCGGAAGACUGAACCAGCCAAGUAGCGUGAAGGAUGAAGGUUCUAUGGAUUGUAAACUUCUUUUAUACGGGAAUAAAACCUCCCACGUGUGGGAGCUUGUAUGUACCGUAUGAAUAAGCAUCGGCUAACUCCGUGCCAGCAGCCGCGGUAACAC
rnacentral:rRNA from 1 species